UUAAGCGACUAAGCGUACACGGUGGAUGCCCUGGCAGUCAGAGGCGAUGAAGGACGUGCUAAUCUGCGAAAAGCGUCGGUAAGGUGAUAUGAACCGUUAUAACCGGCGAUGUCCGAAUGGGGAAACCCAGUGCAAUUCGUUGCACUAUCGUUAACUGAAUACAUAGGUUAACGAGGCGAACCGGGGGAACUGAAACAUCUAAGUACCCCGAGGAAAAGAAAUCAACCGAGAUUCCCCCAGUAGCGGCGAGCGAACGGGGAGCAGCCCAGAGUCUGAAUCAGCUUGUGUGUUAGUGGAACGGUCUGGAAAGUCCGACGGUACAGGGUGAUAGUCCCGUACACCAAAAUGCACAGGCUGUGAACUCGAAGAGUAGGGCGGGACACGUGGUAUCCUGUCUGAAUAUGGGGGGACCAUCCUCCAAGGCUAAAUACUCCUGACUGACCGAUAGUGAACCAGUACCGUGAGGGAAAGGCGAAAAGAACCCCGGCGAGGGGAGUGAAAAAGAACCUGAAACCGUGUACGUACAAGCAGUGGGAGCACCUUCGGGUGUGACUGCGUACCUUUUGUAUAAUGGGUCAGCGACUUAUAUUCUGUAGCAAGGUUAACCGUAUAGGGGAGCCGCAGGGAAACCGAGUCUUAACUGGGCGUUAAGUUGCAGGGUAUAGACCCGAAACCCGGUGAUCUAGCCAUGGGCAGGUUGAAGGUUGGGUAACACUAACUGGAGGACCGAACCGACUAAUGUUGAAAAAUUAGCGGAUGACUUGUGGCUGGGGGUGAAAGGCCAAUCAAACCGGGAGAUAGCUGGUUCUCCCCGAAAGCUAUUUAGGUAGCGCCUCGUGAACUCAUCUUCGGGGGUAGAGCACUGUUUCGGCUAGGGGGUCAUCCCGACUUACCAACCCGAUGCAAACUACGAAUACCGAAGAAUGUUAUCACGGGAGACACACGGCGGGUGCUAACGUCCGUCGUGAAGAGGGAAACAACCCAGACCGCCAGCUAAGGUCCCAAAGUCAUGGUUAAGUGGGAAACGAUGUGGGAAGGCACAGACAGCCAGGAUGUUGGCUUAGAAGCAGCCAUCAUUUAAAGAAAGCGUAAUAGCUCACUGGUCGAGUCGGCCUGCGCGGAAGAUGUAACGGGGCUAAACCAUGCACCGAAGCUGCGGCAGCGACACUAUGUGUUGUUGGGUAGGGGAGCGUUCUGUAAGCCUGCGAAGGUGUGCUGUGAGGCAUGCUGGAGGUAUCAGAAGUGCGAAUGCUGACAUAAGUAACGAUAAAGCGGGUGAAAAGCCCGCUCGCCGGAAGACCAAGGGUUCCUGUCCAACGUUAAUCGGGGCAGGGUGAGUCGACCCCUAAGGCGAGGCCGAAAGGCGUAGUCGAUGGGAAACAGGUUAAUAUUCCUGUACUUGGUGUUACUGCGAAGGGGGGACGGAGAAGGCUAUGUUAGCCGGGCGACGGUUGUCCCGGUUUAAGCAUGUAGGCUGAUUGUCCAGGCAAAUCCGGAUAAUCAAGGCUGAGGUGUGAUGACGAGGCACUACGGUGCUGAAGUAACAAAUGCCCUGCUUCCAGGAAAAGCCUCUAAGCAUCAGGUAACAUUAAAUCGUACCCCAAACCGACACAGGUGGUCAGGUAGAGAAUACCAAGGCGCUUGAGAGAACUCGGGUGAAGGAACUAGGCAAAAUGGUGCCGUAACUUCGGGAGAAGGCACGCUGGUGUGUAGGUGAAGUCCCUGCGGAUGGAGCUGAGACCAGUCGAAGAUACCAGCUGGCUGCAACUGUUUAUUAAAAACACAGCACUGUGCAAACACGAAAGUGGACGUAUACGGUGUGACGCCUGCCCGGUGCCGGAAGGUUAAUUGAUGGGGUUAUCCGUAAGGAGAAGCUCUUGAUCGAAGCCCCGGUAAACGGCGGCCGUAACUAUAACGGUCCUAAGGUAGCGAAAUUCCUUGUCGGGUAAGUUCCGACCUGCACGAAUGGCGUAAUGAUGGCCAGGCUGUCUCCACCCGAGACUCAGUGAAAUUGAACUCGCUGUGAAGAUGCAGUGUACCCGCGGCAAGACGGAAAGACCCCGUGAACCUUUACUAUAGCUUGACACUGAACAUUGAGCCUUGAUGUGUAGGAUAGGUGGGAGGCUUUGAAGCGUGGACGCCAGUCUGCGUGGAGCCAACCUUGAAAUACCACCCUUUAAUGUUUGAUGUUCUAACGUUGGCCCCUGACCGGGGUUGCGGACAGUGUCUGGUGGGUAGUUUGACUGGGGCGGUCUCCUCCCAAAGCGUAACGGAGGAGCACGAAGGUUAGCUAAUCCUGGUCGGACAUCAGGAGGUUAGUGCAAUGGCAUAAGCUAGCUUGACUGCGAGCGUGACGGCGCGAGCAGGUGCGAAAGCAGGUCAUAGUGAUCCGGUGGUUCUGAAUGGAAGGGCCAUCGCUCAACGGAUAAAAGGUACUCCGGGGAUAACAGGCUGAUACCGCCCAAGAGUUCAUAUCGACGGCGGUGUUUGGCACCUCGAUGUCGGCUCAUCACAUCCUGGGGCUGAAGUAGGUCCCAAGGGUAUGGCUGUUCGCCAUUUAAAGUGGUACGCGAGCUGGGUUUAGAACGUCGUGAGACAGUUCGGUCCCUAUCUGCCGUGGGCGCUGGAGAAUUGAGGGGGGCUGCUCCUAGUACGAGAGGACCGGAGUGGACGCAUCACUGGUGUUCGGGUUGUCAUGCCAAUGGCACUGCCCGGUAGCUAAAUGCGGAAGAGAUAAGUGCUGAAAGCAUCUAAGCACGAAACUUGCCCCGAGAUGAGUUCUCCCUGAGACUUUAAGUCUCCUGAAGGAACGUUAAAGACGAUGACGUUGAUAGGCCGGGUGUGUAAGCGCAGCGAUGCGUUGAGCUAACCGGUACUAAUGAACCGUGAGGCUUAACCU
rnacentral:rRNA from 1 species